rnacentral:rRNA from 1 species
GAUGAACGCUAGCUACAGGCUUAACACAUGCAAGUCGAGGGGCAGCGCAGUGUAGCAAUACACGGGUGGCGACCGGCGCACGGGUGCGUAACGCGUAUCCAACCUUCCCGAUACUCUUGGAUAGCCUUCCGAAAGGGAGAUUAAUACAAGAUGGUGUUUCACUUUCGCAUGUUAUUGAAACUAAAGAUUUAUCGGUAUCGGAUGGGGAUGCGUGACAUUAGAUAGUAGGCGGGGUAACGGCCCACCUAGUCUACGAUGUCUAGGGGUUCUGAGAGGAAGGUCCCCCACACUGGAACUGAGACACGGUCCAGACUCCUACGGGAGGCAGCAGUGAGGAAUAUUGGUCAAUGGUCGGAAGACUGAACCAGCCAAGUAGCGUGAAGGAUGAAGGUUCUAUGGAUUGUAAACUUCUUUUAUACGGGAAUAAAACCUCCCACGUGUGGGAGCUUGUAUGUACCGUAUGAAUAAGCAUCGGCUAACUCCGUG